GGCAACAGAGCCAGAGUCUGUCUCAAAAAAAAAAAAAAAAAGUGAUGGCAUCUACGUCAUAAAUCUCCAGAGGACCUGGGAGAAGCUUCUACUGGCCAUGCCAUUGUUGCCAUUGAAAACCCUGCUGAUGUCAGUGUUAUAAUCCUCCAGGAAUACUGGCCAGAGGGCCAUGCUAAGGUUUGUUGCUGCCACUGGAGCCACUCCAAUUGCUGGCCGCCUCACUCCUGGAACCUUCACUAACCAGAUCCAGGCAGCCUUCUGGGAGCCACGGCUUCUUGUGGUUACUGACCCCAAGACUGACCACCAGCCUCUCACGGAGGCGUCUUAUGUUAACCUGCCUACGAUUGCUCUGUGUAACACAGAUUCUCCUCUGUACCAUGUGGACAUUGUCAUCCCAUGCAACAAGGGAGCUCACUCAGUGGGUCUGAUGUGGUGGAUGCUGGCUCAGGAAGUUCUGCGCAUGCGUGGCACCCUGUCCCAUGAACACCUGUGGGAGGUCAUGCCUAAUCUCCACUUCUACAGAGAUCCUGAAGAGAUCGAAAAAGAAGAGCAGGCUGCUGCUGAAAAGGCUGUGACCAAGGAGAAAUUUCAGGGCCAAUGGACUGCUCCAGCUCCUGAGUUCACUGCUCCUCAGCCUGAGGGUGCAGACUGGUCUGAAGGCAUGCAGGUGCCCUCUGUGCCUAUCCAGCAGUUCCCUACUGAAGACUGGAGUGCCCAGCCUGCCACGGAAGACUGGUCUGCAGCUCCCACUGCUCACACCACUGAAUGAGUAGGAGCAACCACUGAAUGGUCUUAAGCUGUUCUUGCACACACUCUUAAGCAACAUGGAAAUAAAGUUGAUGGAAAAUAAACAUCAGUUUCUUAAAAAAAAAAAAAAAAAA